UAGAUGCGAGAGUAGAGCAUAUCAAUAAGCGGAGGAAAAGAAACUAACUAGGAUUCCCCUAGUAACGGCGAGUGAAGCGGGAAGAGCUCAAAUUUGAAAUCUUCAAGGUUCUACCUUGACGAAUUGUAGUUUAAAGAAGUGUUUUCUGUUGGAGUUUUGGUAAAAGUUCUUUGGAAUAGGACAUCAUAGAGGGUGAGAAUCCCGUAUUUGACCAUUUCUUCCAGCUGUGUGAUACACUUUCAAAGAGUCGGAUUGUUUGGGAAUGCAGUCCAAAAUGGGUGAUAAAUUUCAUCUAAAGCUAAAUAUUGGCGAGAGACCGAUAGCGAACAAGUACCGUGAGGGAAAGAUGAAAAGAACUUUGAAAAGAGAGUUAAACAGUACGUGAAAUUGUCAAAAGGGAAGCGUUUGACACCAGUGUUGUUUUCUCGAAAAUCAAUUACAAAUGAUUGGAUUUUUGAUAGUUAUGACUUCAUCAGCUUGCACUUCUCUCUUAUACUUUCUUAAUGCACUUUUCGUUUAACAAGUCAACAUCAAUUUCUUUUGUUGUAAAAGAGUAUGAGGAAGGUGGCUCUCUUUUCGGAGAAAGUGUUUAUAGCCUUGUACCUCUGCAAUCGGAGAGAUUGAGGUCUGCAGCGUAGAUCCUUCGGGGUUAGAUACAUUUGUGCUAAGUUAUAGCUUUUCAUAGACAACUUGUUGACUAUGUUUAGUCUUGUAGCUUACUCGCUUAUGCUAUUUUACCUACGCUUAGGAUGUUGACACACGCGCGUGCUCG
rnacentral:rRNA from 1 species